UUAGGAAUAUUCGGCAAUGGGGGAAACCCUGACCGAGCAAUGCCGCGUGAAGGAUGAAGGUCCUAUGGAUUGUAAACUUCUGUUGUUAGGGAAGAAUGACCUAGGCAGGAAAUGGUCUAGGAGUGACGGUACCUUUCAAGAAAGCUCCGGCUAACUACGUGCCAGCAGCCGCGGUAAUACGUAGGGAGCGAGCGUUAUCCGGAUUUAUUGGGUGUAAAGGGUGCGUAGGCGGCCAGAUAGGUCUAUGGUUUAAGUCCGAAGCUUAACUUCGGUUCGCCAUAGAAACCGUUUGGCUUGAGUAUGGUAGAGGCAAGUGGAAUUUCUAGUGUAGCGGUAAAAUGCGUAGAUAUUAGAAGGAACACCAGUGGCGAAGGCGACUUGCUGGGCCAUCACUGACGCUGAGGCACGAAAGCGUGGGGAGCAAAUAGG
rnacentral:rRNA from 1 species